AGGGGUACAGUCCAGCCAGGUGGGUCCCGACACCGCGCCGAGAACCACAUCCAGACCACAGCUGAGCACCCAACAGCUCACUGAUUGGAUCCAGGGAGGGGAGAAACUGGCUGGAGCCCUCCAGGGUGCAGCUGGGAGGAGGAAGUACAUCAAUUACUUAAUUAUCCAAAGCAGGUGGGGAGUAAAGACCCCACCCGGAGAGCAACGAAGACUCUAAAGGGAGGCGCCACACCCUCGGGCGGCAGAGGGUCACGUGAGAGCAAGGGGGUUCAAUGGCAGAGCCAAAUUUAAAACAGGUUUCAGGGAGUAUAGGAGGAGGCUUUUGGGAUAUUAACAAUGUGAACCUCAAUUUUUAUCAGGGUUGGGUAGGCAAAAAGGCGGCUUCGCUGAGGACUGUUUACUGCUCUGGAUAUAGCAAUGGUGUGAUCGUCAUUAAGAGACAAAAGGGAAAAUACAGUCAAAUCAAACAAAAGGCAAAAGACGCACCAGCCGCCCAACCACCAUAGAAAAUACCCCCCACUUAACGUUGGUGUUUGCUGGAACCAGCUAGGACUUGUUUUCCAGUUUU
rnacentral:lncRNA from 1 species